rnacentral:rRNA from 1 species
CCUACGGGAGGCAGCAGUGAGGAAUAUUGGUCAAUGGACGCAAGUCUGAACCAGCCAUGCCGCGUGCAGGAAGACGGCUCUAUGAGUUGUAAACUGCUUUUGUACGAGGGUAAACGCAGAUACGCGGAUCUGUCUGAAAGUAUCGUACGAAUAAGGAUCGGCUAAAUCCGUGCCAGCAGCCGCGGUAAUACGGAGGAUUCAAGCGUUAUCCGGAUUUAGUGGGUUUAAAGGGUUCGUAGGCGGUCGGAUAAGUUAGAGGUGAAAUCCCGAGGCUCAACUUCGGAAUUGCCUCUGAUACUGUUCGGCUAGAGAGUAGUUGCGGUAGGCGGAAUGUAUGGUGUAGCGGUGAAAUGCUUAGAGAUCAUACAGAACACCGAUUGCGAAGGCAGCUUACCAAGCUACUUCUGACGUUGAGGCACGAAAGCGUGGGGAGCAAACAGGAUUAGAUACCCCUGUAGUC